rnacentral:rRNA from 1 species
GAUGAACGCUGGCGGCGUGCCUAAUACAUGCAAGUCGAGCGAACGGACGAGAAGCUUGCUUCUCUGAUGUUAGCGGCGGACGGGUGAGUAACACGUGGAUAACCUACCUAUAAGACUGGGAUAACUUCGGGAAACCGGAGCUAAUACCGGAUAAUAUUUUGAACCGCAUGGUUCAAAAGUGAAAGACGGUCUUGCUGUCACUUAUAGAUGGAUCCGCGCUGCAUUAGCUAGUUGGUAAGGUAACGGCUUACCAAGGCAACGAUGCAUAGCCGACCUGAGAGGGGGUUCGGCCACACUGGAACUGAGACACGGUCCAGACUCCUACGGGAGGCAGCAGUAGGGAAUCUUCCGCAAUGGGCGAAAGCCUGACGGAGCAACGCCGCGUGAGUGAUGAAGGUCUUCGGAUCGUAAAACUCUGUUAUUAGGGAAGAACAUAUGUGUAAGUAACUGUGCACAUCUUGACGGUACCUAAUCAGAAAGCCACGGCUAACUACGUG